GCGCCGUCGCCACAGCAAAAGCGCUCCUGAGCGGCGGCGCUUCUGGCGACCUUCCGAGAUGGUGCUAAACGCACCUCGAAAAUAAACAAACAAACAAAAAAGACGUUAGUUUCGUGGCCAGCAAUGUGGCAAGGAUCGUAGGGGGGAAAGAAAGGGGCUUUGAAAGAGUAAUCUGUAAUCUCUGAGUUAGCAAAUUGGCCUCAAGAAAGGAAAGCAAACGUGCAUGUGAGACAACCUGGGCAGCGCUGCGGUUCUGAAGAAAAACAGCCUUUUUCUGACUGAAGAGGAUGAAGGAAAACAAGAGCUUUGCAACAACCCCCUAUCACUGCUGUGCAAUCCCAAUUCAAGCCUUUCGUGGCUCUGGGAAAGUGGCAGGAGCUCUGCUUGACACCAUUAACCUUGACUGUCAGGGUUCUUUGUGGGUAUGAAGGGUUACAGUCCUUUUACUGACCUGUCCUGCUUCUGAGGAUAACCAAGCUGCCAGCAGCACUGCACAGAGGGGUAUUUAUGUUCUCCCAUGGCAACACAGAUGUGCUGGUCACGAAACACCUACAGAUGACAUCCUGAAACUGCUAGCCUUGAAAAUGGCUGUGAACUCCAUAUCGUGAUGAUUUUCAGCGCUGUUUUCCAGAACAUUCAAAGUUACUACUGCUCUUUGACUUCAAAUGUUUUGGAUGCCAGUAUUGGACAUCACGCCUCAGGGGAAGAGACUUCACCUACUUACCUUGCCCCAUGGAACAGAGAAAGAGGUAACUUUGGAGUAAUCCCCCAGUUCCUCAUCCUGAGAGCUUCACAUUAGCCAACAAGUCUGGGUACAAGUUGGUAUCUACUUUGCUCACACCAGUCCUACCAGACGUCAGAGUAUCCAGAGCCAGAACUUUGUUUCCUGACCAUCUCCAGCUGUUAUUGCACCUCCUGGCAUGGGAAACAGAGCCAUUGAGCACAAUGCAUCUUUGGGGUGACAGUCGCAUCACACGGAUCCGAGGGCCAGGAAUGAGCAGGAUGACGUGUUGUUGUGGUCACCCCAUUCCUUAAGUCCGUGUGGGGUUUGCAGAAGGCAGGCAGGCUGGGAACGAUGCUCUUCAGACACCCAGUGUGAUCUUUACUCAACCAGGGAAGGAUGCCAACUGUGAGUUUUGUCCAGGGAUUUGACUCAGCUGCAAGAAGAUCGUGCUGACGUACGUGAUUUUCAAUGACAAAAAAGCCACCAAUGAGCUUCAAGGCCCAUCCAAUUGCUCAUGGAAGGAGAAACAGUCACAACCGGCCCAGCCAGCAGCCAACACCAACUUCUAUGGCUCAGUCCUCUGGAAAAGCACCAUGGCCUCCCGCUGCCGUUGGAGCAACGCCAGGCAAAUAAUUUCGGAACAGGAGAUGGGACAGGGUGGCAGCAAAAACUUCUGAUGACAUUAGGCUGCUCUGUUUUGCUCUGCCUGGAAAGGAAAGCAGACUUGCUACUUGAGGAUGUACCAUAAUGGUCAGAGCAGAUCUAUACUGAGGUUGGUGGGGAAGGCUCGGCCCUUCUUUCCCAUUCGAUCUGCCUUGGGCUGGAGAGCAUGUGUCCCUGUGCUGUUCUUCCACCCACCAUCAAUAUGUCCGCAUCCGAGCUUUCCUACCAAGCCUUUAAGCCAAAAACACCGAAAGAACUCUUGAGUUUUUCAUUCUUUCAUUUUUGAGGAACUGAAUUUGAGACCCCGCUGCUGAGUUUCAAUGCUGCCAAAUAGCAGUAGGUCUGCUAGCUGCUGAGUGCUCAUUGCUGCUCAGAAUCAUGGUAUUUGUUGCUUAGAGUUCUGCUUAAAACCUUAGCAAGACCUGGGAGAUACUGAAAAGAGGAUGUAUCGCUUAGAAAGAAAGGAGUGUGAAUCUAAGUACAAUUUAAGGUCUGCUCCUUGAGCACGAUGAGACCAGCUACCCAAAAGCAUUUAGUGCUUUCAAAAAAAAAAAAAAAAGAAAGAAAGAAAGAAAGAAAGCAAAAAGUCCCCAUUCCCUGCUGAAAUGCAGAGGAAAUACAUGCUCAGGAAUAUAUCUGAAAACGAAGCUGGUUAUCUUUCUUCAUCCUUUGAUCUCAAGUGUCUUUUGAAAUCUGGCCUCCAAGUGAUAAACCCAAGGAUGCAUGAAAUCAAGCACCGAAUCUUUAUCUCCUCCACUUGUGCGUCUCUGCGCUGUGAUUCACAGCACAGAUCCAUUCCUCUCCAGGACUGUUUCUGACUCACAGCCAUCAACAAGACAAGUCCCAGAAAUAAGGAUGCUGGGCAGCAUCAUGGAGCAGGGGAAUGGCCCGACGGUGAGCAAUUGCCCUGCAGGCACCCUCAUCUCCUCCUGUCUACACUGCUGCUGCAUUUGGCCCUGGGUUCUCCCCAGGUGUUUGAAGAAUAGAAAGAUCUUCCCUUAAUCCUUGACCUGCACUGCGAACCGUGGAUCCAGUCAUUUCUGAACCAGCACCCACAGAGAAUCUGAGAGCUUCUUAGGCCGAGAGUGCAGGAGGGAGGAGGGUGCCAGGAGAGACAACCGGUGAUGUAGCAAAGGGAAAUCUGAAGUUUCCCUUCUGCUUUUUCAUGCAUAACAGCGUCUUUAUGCCUCAUUUCCAUCUUCACAGCUCCUGUAAUUUACAUAAUGAACAUUUGCGAAGCCUGAGAUCUAGGUUCACUUUGUAUCACAUUGACUGUAGAUGACCUUCAACACAUUAUCAGAGAAGUUUCCCAGGCGGUUUUCCCAAAGGGUAUGGCUAUGAAACAUAGGACCAUCAGGAAAGAGAAAAGGAGAAUAAAACCAGAUUUCUGAGAUAUCUGUCUUUCAAAGAUAUAUUUUCCACAGCAGGGAAAAAAAAAAGAAUUAAAAAAAAGGAGUUUGGGACUCAACAACUUGCUUCUUUAAACUCAGUAUUGGUAGAGGGCCCAUCAGUAAAGUAAUUUAAUUAGGUUUGCUUUUCCAGAUCCGCAGAAAGAAUAUUUCCAUAGCAGAAUGGAUUUGGAGAAAGUGAAGUUCAUAAAAGACUGCAAGCAGGGAAGCAGUUUUAUUUGCAUUCCUUCGUAAAUAGUGGCUGUAAGAUGAGCGUAUCCAUUUUGGCCACCUGAUCAGGUACUACAUCAGGAAAAAUCUAACAGCGCAUACGGGGCAGCGUAGGCAGAGAUUGAAGAUGGAAGAGGAAUCCCGACCUCAAAGGUGAGAGCAGGACAUCAGGGUACAAGCGGGCACCUGGAGCCCAUUGUGGCUUUGUGAGGGUGUCAGGUGCAGCCGUGAUUCCUCCUGCUAACAGCGUGCAGUAAGCGCAUGGUGAUAAAGCAGGAGCUGGGGAGCUGACCCCUUGUUCCUCUGACACCCCUCCAUGAAGCACCGUUCUCAUCAGCCCCCUCGUGAGCGGCAGCACAGCCUGCCUGGCAGCCCUGGCAAGUUGCACGGCCGCUGUUACACCGCACAGAGUGUUACACCAACGUGCAGCAGCGGCAGAGCAACUUCUCCCGUUGUCGUGUGGGUGCUGGAUAAGCACAGCUCAGGGAUAAUCUCUCAUCUGAUGAGUGCCUGGGAGUUUUCUUUUGUUCUUUGGGCUAUCAAGCUGGUUGUUGUUCGCUCCAGUGACGGAGAGUGCUUUGAAAGAGAGAUGCAUUUUGCAACUGACUCGAGGGCUUUAUUUGUGUAGAAAAUUAACUGGAAGUUGAAAUACAGAGGCUCAUUCUGGUGAUGAAGGAGGGAUCUCAUGUUAGCUGUCAUAAGACUCCUCAGAUAAAAUGAAUCUUAUGCACCACCACGAUAGGCGUGCUAGAAAUGGUCUGGUGCUGUUCUCAUCAUCGAAGACCGAGCGUAUAAGAAGUACUGCUCUAAGCAAUAAGCACAAGCUGCUAGAAAAAAAUUACUUUUGAUUCCUUUGUUCUUUUAGCAUAGCACCUUGUGUGAUCUUUCUGGGCAAGCAUGUGUAUUUACCUGCUGCAGAUGUGUGGUUGCUGUUAGCUCGUAUUUUCUGGCCUCCUGUGUAUUGCAAGAAGUUUAUCAGUGUAUCCUGUGCGGCUUGAUGCUACCCAUACAUGGUCAACUGCAGCCUGGUGAUCUUUACCACCUUGUUUCCUUCGGUGUGGUCUGGCUCUCUCUCCGGUUGUUAGCUUGGUCUGUAGAGAGCUCUAAGCAUUCAGAAGGUAAGUUGCAUGUUGCAGAAUUUUCACCAUGGGACCAAAUGCAAAAUGGAGCUGGUGGGAAGGGGCACCCAGCUGAAGUCCCUGUGACAGCCCCCAUCCCUGUGGGAGGGAUGCUUUCUCCUUCCAUCUUUUUUUUUUUUUUUAAUGCUACCGUAUAGUGUUUAAUAAUUCAAUAUAUACAUAAUCCAAACUAAGCACACUAAUUAACCUUUGUUUUGAGAAAUUUAAUUAAUGCUUAGUCUCUAUUCAGACUCUAAACAGUUUGGAGUGGGAAAGGUGCCACGGGGAAAGCGUGACAGAAUAUGUUCAAUAUUGAGCACCUUCAAUUAUUUAAGCAGAAACGUGGGCUAGACCAAUUAAGAAAAAAGAAAGUUGUUACACAGUCGUGUGUGUGCUAAAAUAACUGCAUGUGGUGCUCCCAAACUCUCAUCCUGAAGCAGAAAAAGCAUUAGCCACACAGAAGGCAGCUCCAUGGAGGAGAGAGUCUGGCUUGGGAGCGCUUUUGCUGCUUGCGGGGAGCCCCGAACCUUCCUGCUGGAGCUCAGGAUGGGAGAGGAAGGAACCUGAACUCAGUUGCUGGCAGUGGCUGCCCACCCUGGCUGGGUAAAGCUGGGCACUGCAUCCUGCUCUGCAUCCCAGAGAGGUGAUGAAUUUUCUGAAAGGUCAGAUGCUGUGCUCUGACUCACUGGUACUAGUCCUCUGCGGCCCAAAUGCCUUCAAAAUACAUCACUGUAUGAUAACAAUUUUCUCCAAAUGCUCAAGCUUUAGUAUUCUUCCCCAGCUGAACUGUAAAUAAAAUUAUUUCCUAAGAGCACUUAUUUGAGCUUGAUUAUUAAAUACAUUGCCAAAAUCUGGUCGGUUAAUAUACUGCCUGCUACUUGAGCUGAAGUAUCUAGAAGACAAAGAAAGAAGUAAACGAAAAGGAAAUCAACAUUUUGCUAAAUUGCAUGUUUUUAAAAAUCCUGUAAUUGAGGCUGCUACUUCAUUUCCAUUUGUAAAACAGAUUGAGUUCCCUUUCCAUCUACUAAUGGAUUUGGUUUAUCUCUGCUACUAAUUGCAGCAUUUGCAUGGCUCACACAGGCUGCUCGUGACAGGACGUUGAGUAAGGAAAGUCAAAGUGCUGCUGCUGUGCUGUGGGGUGUCAUUUAGGAGCAGUGCUCGGUGCUGAGCUCUGCUGAACUUCAGGCCCUUGUUCUUUUUCCUGUGGCUCCAAAGUCUGGGUCAAUCAACCAAGAUAAACUUGUUAAUUUGCUGUCAGGAUGAUGUGCCUCAGGUCUCACUUGAGAAGCAGUGGGAAGGUUCAGGUGAUAAUAAGGCGAUACCAGACAGUCUGGAUGUUUAAUUAAACUUGGCCGUGCCCUCUUUGACCUAGUGAGUGGGCUGGAAAUGUCACCAGAACAAAGGUUGCUCAUGAGGUUUGCACGUGUGCCUCUGCUUUGCAGGGUUUGUGACGGAGGUGGGGGUUUGCACCAUUUUUCCUCAUGUUUUCACAUCACCAUUGAGAAGGGAAUUGUGUUCUGAAGCUCUGGGCGGAAAGAAAACAAACUGUGUGUGUGUGUGUGAUGAAUAAGCCUUUUCUUAGGACCUGCUAUAGCAAAUGAGUUUGCGUGCUUCUGAAUGAAGCAAUAUGUACGAUUCUGGGACUUGGGUCUCGUGGUAAAUAGAGAAACCACACUGUUAACAUCCUAGCCAGUGUUCAGCUCUUAAUUAGCAGCAGGGCUGCUCUGAAGCUCAGGUACAAGCUACUUUUAUUGCUGGGGUGGGAGGGCAAGCAGCCUUUCAUAGCGUUGUCCCCAGGAACAUGGGCUGUAUCAGCCCCCUCAGUAGCAAGCAAACCAAGGAUUCACAUUUUGGCUUCCAUUGUUUCACCCUACGUUUACAAACAGAGGCUUUAUUAUGAUUUUUAAGGCACUCUUGAAAGCAAUCCAUCAGAUUCUCAGGGAGUUCAGCGUGGCAAAGAAAGCCCCAGCUACAGAGUCGCCUUUGUGGAGCAGGUCUGUGGGCUCUCUGCCAUCGGCGCAGCAGGAGAGCGUUGUAAUAAUGACACCAACAUCUACCAGAUGUCUUCUGGAGGAUUUUGUUUCAAGAUGCAUGGCUGCUAGUUCACAAGAGCGUGUGGGGGGUUUUCUGCCCUAAUAUACAUGAUUUGUUUAAAAACUUUGCAGGUGUUAGAAUUUUUAUUGAAGUCAGAGAGCUGAGAAAUUAUAUACAGUCGGUGAGGUAAUGCUUUCUCCUCUCAGAUGGGAGCAGAGAGUGUACACAAUCUGUACUGAAUAAGGGGCAGCUGUGUUGCCAGCACAAUUUUAUACAUCUGAAAACGAAUCCCAGCCAUACCAAGCGAGCUCUCAGUUCCUGCAAAUCCUUGCAGACAGCAAGAAAAUCCACUGAUCACUUGCUGCUUUCCUCCAGGAGCUUGCAGGGCAGACCCUCCCCAUGGCUGGUGGUGGUGGGGGACCUCUUGCUGCAGCUCUGUUUGUGCCAGCACCACGUCUGGCCAGCUGCAAGGAACUCCGAGCCCCCCAGCUCUUCCCCACAGCCCGCAGCCAUGCCCUGACAGCUGUAGGGAAGAGCUGGGGGGAUUAGGGCUUGCAGUGGCUUUGGGGAGCAGGACAGCUGCUUCCUCUGUCAUCACAUCGUGCGAGGAUUUUGUUUCUUUUUCUCUGGGCUCGAUUCAGCCGCUUGCUGAAGCUCUAGCCUGUAGAGAUUUGAGAUUUUUUUUUUAUUACGAUGAUUUUUAUAUAGGUAGGUUGUAGUGUCAGGAUAUGAGGUUGAAAGGGCAGGUCUGAGUCAACCCUCCGAUGAAUUCUAAGUAUUUCCUUUCUACGUGGAUGAGAUCCAAAAUUCUAUCUCGGUUCAAAAAGCCCCACUUAUUUCUGAUGCUCGUUCGCAUAGACUUUGAACCCUUUGUGUCUGUAGAAGAGGGUUGGUCAUUCGAGUUCAGCACAGCUCUUUCCUAAGAACCUGGGAUGUGCAGAGUCAGCAGGGGAAAUAUUUUGGGGUGGCAACUCAAAGGGCCGUACUUAUUCAUAUAUUAGUAUAUAAAAUGUAUGUAUAAAUAAUAUAUGUGCAGAGGACAAAGGUGCUGCAGAUUGGAGCCCCUCUGUCAGGGCCCCCUGCACCCAAUCACAUUGUUCCUUCGCCUUCUGCGUCCCUGGGCUGGACACAUCCCAUAGGGUCUCUCAGUUGCCUGUAAAUAUACCCUUAUUUUGUUCCAGGCUUUCUUUUCCCUUAUUGCUGCAUUUUGCUCAGCGUAAUGAUUUGAGGGCAUCAUUUUCAAUUUCCUCUAUGGAGCCAAAAUUAAUAUCAUGUUAUGCCAUCAUGUAGCAGAGCGAGGCUUUAAGCAUCCACCAACAGUAUGCAUAUUUGAAAAUAACCUGAUGGCUUCUAAAACCCAGUACUGCUUCAAACCACUGCCUUAGUCCACUGUAAAGAUCUGUGGCACCUGUUUGAACUGCAGCACCGGGAGAACAACGCUAGUUGGUACCUGUCACUGUCACCAUCCAACAUCCUGAGUUGGAAGAGGCCCACAAGGGUCAUCAAGUCAUUGAUUGAGAGGUGCUGGUUCUCAUUUUCCCCCCAUCUGCACAGGGCAGCUCCUCUUCCUGGGGCUCAUUUCCUUGGUCCCCAGGCCUGGUGGGCAAAAUUUGAAGAUUUCAGUUUGUACCCUUCUGCUCAUGCCUUGCCCUUUACCAGGGAGAUAGCUGUGUUUUGCUUUGAGAAAUCCAUUUAGGUGAGAGAAACAGAAGAAAGUUCAUCAAAACUCUACAUUGUGACUGCGGUCCUUGUGGCUGCGUCCCACUGUUUCAAGGGAAUUUUGGUCCCCUCCGCCUCUUCUUCACCGUGGCUCAUUGGGGCCAGGCAGCGCCAAACAGACUCAAAAUGGUGACAGAUGGACAGGCAGAGGUCAGCUGGCCAUCUUGGUUUAUAAGAGCUCUUGCUCGCUGUGUUCCAGAGCUGCUCGGGCUUUUCAUUCAUUUUGAAGCCGGAUUGCUGUGCUUAAGUGCUGGCGCGGGCUGCUUGCAGGAGCAGGAAACCACUCCCUUUAUCCUCACUUGAUCUUUGGGAGUUAAGUAUGUGCAGUGCCCUUGUCAGCAGUAAGAGCCUCGCAAGGGGUGAGGGGAAAGAAAUGUUAACACGGAUGUUUACCGUAACUUCUUGCUUUGUGUGGAGUGGGGAAACUGGGGAGGAGAGGAGCUAAGGGAGCGAGGUCUGCAGAGCAGGAAAAAAAAGCUGAGGUUGUGUCGGAUUGAAUCUGUAAUUCCCUUGAUUUUUGCACUGGCUUUUCUUUGGCCCAGCGUUUUUUUUUAAAUUGUUAUUUAAACUCACCAUUCUAUUAGAAGAGAAAGAUAAUUGCUUUUUCUUUCUUCUGCUGGAGCUUCUCAACGUGAUUAAGAUAUGGAAGACAAACGACUGGAUGUAAGGAUGAUGUAAUGGAUAGAGAUGAGCCAAAGUCACUGUGGCCCAGUUUAAAAACCAUGGCACUUCUCCAGGAUCUAUUUGUUUCUCUUAAUACGGCGAUUUGUUUUUAUAUAUUGCUCUCCAUAAUUAUCAUCACACUAUGUACUCGCUGGCUCUAGGUUCAAUGUAAUAUAAAUCCAGAAUUAGUCUAUUGAAGUCAACGUCGGAUACGUUUGCUUUAACAACUAAACUAGGUCUUAGUCUUGUUUAUCCUACUGUAGCUCCAAAACAGCUCUCCCAAAGUAAAUACAGCUCCUCUCUCAACAGGGUUUUCUGAAAAGCCCUUGUUGUGCCCCUUGGCUACACCUCCCACCCUUGUGCUGCACUGCAUGCUGCACUGCUGCUCUCUUGUGCCUCUUGCUAUGGCUUCAGACUCAGCCUUGCCUUAAGCCCAUCUAUGUUUGCCCAGGCUGGAGAAGCAAGGAUAUCUUGGUCAUCUCCUCCCUCUGUGCCACUGGUGAUGCAGAUUGGUGUUUGGGCACAGCCUAAACUCUAAGGCAGACCUUAGAAUCAUAGAAUCAUAGAAUUAGCUAGGUUGGAAAAGACCUACAAGAUCACCUAGUCCAACCAUCCACCUACCACCAACAACCCCACUGAACCAUGUCUCUCAACACUACAUCUAAACGUUUCUUGAACACCUCCAGGGACAGCGACUCAACCACCUCCCUGGGCAGCCCAUUCCGGCGCCUGACCACUCUUUCAGAAAAGUAGUGUUUCCUAAUGUCCACCCCAUAAAAUCAUAGAUCAGACUGAGAAGUAAUACUCUUGAACACAGAAGGUUAAGCACCAGAUUCUGUUGUAAUACUGGGUCUAGAGACAGCUUUUAAAGGGCCGUGAGAUCCCUUGAUUUCUUUACUGGGCCGCUCUGGUGAGCCACACAAGGCUGUGGUUCUUGGGAGCAGAUGAAGGAGCUCACUUCUGCUGAUCAUCACCAGCCAAGCUGGAUCUUUAACUCGUUUGUUUGUGAUCUCCAGCCAUCAAAGCCAGAAAUGGAGCGGUCAUAUGUGCUGAUCCCUGACCAUGCUCCGGGGUCUCAGCUGUCAUCCAGGGAUUUGGGUGCUGAGUUUGGGGGUGAAGGCGGAGAGGCCCCAAAGGCUACGGCUAAGUUCGGGGAAAGCCGCAUCAGCUCUGCGAAAACUGCGAAAGGAGAGUAAGGGCUGUGAAUAUGGGAGGCGAUGCUGAGGGCUGGGGAGGCAGCGGGCGAGCAGCCAAGCUGAGGUUGAGAAAACCUCUUCAGGCUGGAGAACAGCCAUGCAGCUGGAAGCCAUCAGGGCCGCGGCGCUGGGAGCAGGAGGGCAGGCACAUGCUGCGGCGUGCUGCUGGCUGCAGUGCUGCUGCUGGUGGUGAAGGCUUGGCCGUGCUCAGGUUUGCUCCUACCUGAGCGGGUGGUCAUGACACCAACCUGCGGCGCGCUCUGGGAGUCGCUUCUAUCCGACAGGGGAGAAAAUAACUUUUCAAUCUCUUCCGAUGUUUGUUUCUGAUAAUUUGGUGGAAUUUGCAGUGCACAUCUAGGGGUGCCCAAAAUGCUCCUCAUACUUCGCUGCAUUUUCCACAAACUUUCUAUUCGGUAGAUGUGCAAUAAUUGCACUUCACAGCUAUAUUCUGUUACUUGAUAAGACAGCUGCAAAAAAGCUAUUUUCUGAUUUUCAGAUACGGCAGUUUAUCUCUAAUGUGAGUUUUCACUGGCAGUUAAAGAAGUUCCUAGAAAACUGUUCCAACUUCUCCCUCAGUAACCAAGGUGGUAGGAGGCAGAUAAAACUUAUCCUCUACUAAUAACCAGCAAAGAGAUUAGAAUUUGUUUAGCUGUAAACUGAGGGCCAUUCAUUUUUUUGAGAUGACACACGGAUCACCUCUACCCCAAGGAGGAAGAGGAUGGUUAGCUCUACCAAACCUGGGCUGGAGGAUAUAGUGUUUUGGCUGAAAAGAUUUGGGGCAAAAAACUUGCAACCCAAAGUUCAUAGUUUUGAUUUGGAAAUUUCAUCAGGAGGGGAUAAGGAAAAUGCUGGAGGACUUUAGCCUGGCCGUACGUCCCAUGCUAUCCUGCAGCGCUCUCUCAAAUGGGAAUAAAAUGUUCCAGUGCCAUAUGAGGGAUGAGGUGGGGCUUGGGAGGCAUUUAUUGUUACGCAGAUACUGAUUUUCCAUAGGAAAGCAACCUUUUUCUCAUCAGAUUUUAGCUGGAGAAAAAAAAUGAAUUGCCAUAAAACCUUGCACGUGCUGGCUGCGUGCAUUGCUUCAGAACCCAGAGAGCUCCUGCUCCCUCUCUGAGUGCCCCAAACCAGCAAUAUCCUACUGGCUUCUUCUCCCCAUUAAAAUUCAAAACACAGCCUUUCUCUCCAUUUCUGUUCUCAGAUGACAUUUAAACCUGUCAGCAGUUACAACUGGUGUCAUGUAAUCUCUGUAACCAAUGCAAAAAUUGCUCUCUUGCUUCACGAUGGCCUCUAAAAACAGAAAAAGCAAUGGAAAGAGGAUGGCUAAGUCCUCCACAAAUACUCCAAAACUCCCAUCUGCUGCUUUCUGUGUUUCUUGGUCUGAAAGCAUUCCCACCACUCCUUCCCUCGGACAGCAAGAUAAACCUGCCUUCAUAGUUAGCAGUCUGCUGUCCCAAGCUGCAGAGAGCGAGCGAGCUUGAUUUUGCUGCAUCCCAUUUGGCCACGAGGAGAGACAGCCAUUCCCUUUAAGCCUCAGAUGAGAUUUCUUCCACAUGUAGCUCAGCGUAUUGGAGUGCGUUUCUGGAUAAAUAUUCUUCAGACAGAAACAGUUCCGUGUCUGCACACAAAGCCGGAGCCGGCGAGCGCACGGGCAUGCGCUAAUGCCGCCUCGAGCUUUGAAUGAGCACGCAACCAUCUCAGUUGCUUUCGUUUGCUCUGGGCCUAAGUUUGGCCACCGGUAAACAGUAAUGUUGUAUUGUUGAUAGAAAGUGCUGCGGGUGAUGGACGGUCCUGCCCGCCUGUUUCCAUUUACCCGUGAUUAAUGUAUUCAAGCCUAUAGUCAUUUGUUUUUAUGAACUUCCCAAACAAAAACUUGAUGUUUCGGUACCAAGCUCAAAUAUGGGAACAAUUUUAUUCUCGAUGCCAGCGUUUCUGAUGCGAGAACUGAAAGGCAUCCAGAAAUGCUGUGUUUUCACGGAAUAUCCGUCGGUCCCCAGAUACAGCAUUGUUGAAGCAUUACAGAAGCAAAAACAAUCCCAGUGCCUUGAAAGCUUUUCGUUCUGCCUCUGCUUCACGGAAACACUGACUCAGGGCCAAAUGGCUGAUUGUAUCGUAUGAUGUAACAAGGAGUUAGAGAGCUUAGCAGGGAAUUAGAAUAAUGCAUUCUGUGUGUGCCUGUGUG